CAACAAACUGCAGACACAGACAGCAGACACAGCAAGUUGAUAAAACAUAUUUAGUGCUUGACGGGUUUAACUGGAUCCGGAUCAAGGUGGAAAAAACAAAAUAGACACUGGCCUUUUCAACGGUCUGAAACCGGUCAACAACCACCACGCAGCGGUUCUCGUUUGGUCACAGAAACUUGGAGCAAACAGCAGCUAAUGUCGAGGCUGGAGGAAGGACGAAGGCAGAAGGCAAGUAUCAAACUGAAGCUUAGUAGUAUUAGCUUUAUUUACCACCAUGCCUCUGACUUUACUCAGUCGACAAAAGCAAACCGCUAGCAGCAAGUGAAAUGGCAUGAUUUCUGGCUAGGAUAGGAAGCUGGAUUUUAUGGAACGUGUCAAAAUGUCAAAGUCUUCUUUCUAUGCAGACUGCUCCUACUCCUCCACUUGCAGGUGUCGCUAGUGAGACAUUUUAAGUGGAUUUUCUUCCAAAGAAGAGACAACACAUUUUAGUUUUAUAAAUGAUACUGAGAUUUGGUAAUGGUUUAUUACAAUAAUACUGAAAUACAAUACUGAGAAAUAUAGCAAGACAGAGCAUGAAAUGUUGGAAGCCUGAGCAGAAACUAGAUUAUUAUUAUUAUAGAAAACAUUAGCUGUUAUUAUUUAAUAACAGCUAAUAACAGCUAAUGUUCUCUGUCCUCUCUUCAGGUGGUUACAGCUCAGAAACUGCAACUUCACCACGAUCAACAAGUAGGUCAAGUAUGGACACCACACCUCGUCAACUGUCUGGAUAGAGACAGACUGAUUUUUGAUUAUUGCUGUAAUAAUGGUUACCUGCUACAGUUGAAUAAAAAUAGGGAGAAUGGGAAAUUGUAGCUGUUCUUGUUCAGCUUGGUCUCAUUUUUUAUUCUCACUCAUUUUUUUGGACAUGUUUUGAAAAGAUCAAAUUGUUGUUGUAUACUGUUAUGUUACAUCUAAUAUAGUGAUAUAUAGCCUUUUUUU